rnacentral:rRNA from 1 species
UACGUAGGGUGCAAGCGUUGUCCGGAAUUAUUGGGCGUAAAGAGCUCGUAGGCGGUCUGUCGCGUCUGCUGUGAAAACUCGGGGCUUAACCCCGGGCCUGCAGUGGGUACGGGCAGACUAGAGUGCGGUAGGGGAGACUGGAAUUCCUGGUGUAGCGGUGGAAUGCGCAGAUAUCAGGAGGAACUCCGGUGGCGAAGGCGGCACGCUGGACCUUUUCUGACGCUGAGGCGCGAAAGCCAGGGGAGCGAACGGG